rnacentral:piRNA from 1 species
GAGCCUGAAGGACAGACGCCCC